CAUAAUUUGAAUUUUAAAGUUCUUAUUUCAUUGUUUUGCUAUUUGGUUUUAUGAGCUAAAUAUGUUAAUCAAUCUUUUUAUUCUUGUUUGUAGAGCUGUGAAAUGUUAUUCUCAACGAGCUUGCAGAAAUAAAAGUUCUUUUAAAAUAAGUUAUAGAAAUUAAGUUUCAGGCUACUGGGGUGAAAUUGCUAGAAUCAGUGGACGAAGUGGUUACACUGGAUAAUAAACUAAAAGAUAAAACCGAGUAUACUAAUUUGCUUGAUAGUUUGAAAAAGAUUGGUGGUGGAAAGCCAAAAGAACAUGCUUUUUUGAUCAUGAAAAUAUAAAUGAUUAUGUUUUUAUUAAUUAUUAGAAAUAUGAUUAAAAUGGACCAAAAGCAAUUCAUUUUGACUGUUAUUUGUUAUGGAUUUACUUUUAACAUGACAAUUUGAUAAACUCUGGAGCUUCACUGUAGGUGUUAAAGUUUGUUUGUGUGCUAAAGUUAUUUUCGAAUCAGUUACAGUCCAAAUUUAAUCGAAAAGGAAAUGGGGAAAAGAUAAGCUUAGAAAAUCUAGUAAAUAUAUGGAGUGUUUUACGAGAUAUCGGCGACGUGGAAGAAAAUGUUGACGGCAAUGAAGAAAUAUAGUUGUUUAUGUAUAUUUUUGUGAAAUAAAAAUUAAGUAAUGUUAGUUAAAAUGUUUCUUUACUUAUUUAA